CGCAGCGCGCUCCCGGGCCGGCGGUUCGGCCCCUGGCACCGCGCGCCCGCUGCCCACCGCCGGGCAUCACCGGACCAAGACGUUUCCCACAGCGGGCUGCAAGGCAGGGUAAACUUGGGAUGACAGUAAUCCCUCUUCUUAGGAAGAUGUCACUGUUUUCAGCGCAUUCCUGGCACAUAUCCCAGGAGAGCAGGACCUUGCUUGUCUUGGCCACUCGGGUCCCUGGUCUGGCACAGGGCCUGAUAGGAAUGCGUUGACAGAAAGAAUAAAAACGCCGAGUCGAGUGGGACUGCGGACUGGUACAGCCACGCUGGACGACGGUUUGCAGAUGUGCCUUUCGAGACGUCUCAUGUAAAUGGAAUCACACGAUAUGCAGCCGUCGGUGUCUAGCUGCUUCUACUCAGCACAGCGUUUUCAAGGUCCGUCCAUGUAGCACGCAUCAGUACCUCAUUCCUUUUUAUUAUGAUUAUAUUGUGCCAAAUUUAAUGUACUCCAUUUAAUUAUCCCG
rnacentral:lncRNA from 1 species